UUCUCUUUUGUUGACUGUCUCCAUGGCGACAGACAAGGGCCACAGAUCCUGUUCACUAGGAGGCAGUUGAUUCUGGAGGAGCAGAGCUGGCCCCACAUAAAGGGGUCAAACUGAAAAGCACCACCGUGAAAGCAGCAGUGAAAGGCCAGGUGUCUCCCCUGUUACAAGAGGGGCACCACCCUUGCCACAUUUUUGUAACUGGGAAGGAAGACAUUGUGGAAAUGCACCCUCAGCCCUGAGAUGUCGCCAGCCAUUUCUACUGGCCAGUCUUCCAGCAGCUUAUCAAUUUUACCUCCUCCCAAUAGAAGAGACAAGCUCCCAUCUACCUGGAAGGCCAAUCCAUACUCUGUGUGCCUCCAGUGACUGGAGUAACACAGCACAAAACCCACUCCAGUCUGAAGAUCUAUUCAGCCUCAACUCAAAGGCCUGUCUCAGGGAGGACUAUGCUCCCAGGAUUUCAUUGCUUCCUACAAUAUAUGUUUUUAGUGGCUACUUCCUAUUUUUCUCCAAAGCCGGCCACCUGCUAGCCAGCUAUGAAUAGCUCAAGAAGUCACCCAUGAGAAUUCCUUUCUGACCAUAUUUCACCACAAUGAAUUGAAAGCAAGUUAAGGCAUGCCUGGAUUCCAUUGUGAGUGGACUUGGAUGCUGGCCUUUGAAAGGCGCUGGUCAACAAGGGCAAAUCUUCCUAAAGAUAGGAGGACCACGUGGUCAUCUCCUUCAAAGGAAUUUUUACUACCAAGGGGCAGUUAAUCAUCUUAUCUCUGGCACCUCUUGCCACUUCCACGAACUUGAUUCAUUGGGCCUCUAUUUCACUUCUACAGUAGAGUGAAUACUAAAGUCCACCCAACAUCCAUCUAGCUUUCCACUAGGAAAGCACUCAAUGCUUCCCCACCCUCACCUGUGACUCAGUCCAAAUACCAGGGGAGGUUGUUUCAUAUUUGUUGUGGAAUAUUAUUUUAAGAUAUGUUUAUGCUGGAACAUUUGUUUAAUGAUGGAAAGAUGUGUUGCAUUCUUUUAUGC